UAAAGGGCAGUAGGUGGAGCACGUGUUUCUCUUUGAAUCGCGCAGUACUUGAGUCGGAGGAUGCGCUUGAGCUGUGUAGCGGGGUCUUCGUGUACUCGGCACUGUGAUGGCUUGGAGGUCGGCUGAAGCCUGGUGGGCAGCAUACGCUCGUAUCAUGUAAUGUAGAGUACCGGCCGAGCAGGGGCGCUGCAGGACCAUGCUGAUCACAUGGAGGGAACCGACUGAAGAGGCUUAAAGAAUGAAUCUAUGGAUUUUCCAUGCUUCUAAGAAAGAUGUGGCUGGUAAAGGUUUGCUGGAAGAUGAUCUAUGAAUAAGGUCUACAGAUCAGGUGACUAAAUAAGGUGGAGGAUGUUGUGACUGUGUAAAGUCUACAUAUCAGGUAGAUGCUGCUUGAAGAGAAUAAACUUGACUACAGUUAAAUAAAUCACAAAUUUCUAAUAAAUCACAAAUUUCACUUGG